rnacentral:rRNA from 1 species
UACGAAGGGGGCUAGCGUUGUUCGGAAUUACUGGGCGUAAAGAGCUUGUAGGCGGUUUGUCGCGUCUGCCGUGAAAAUUCGAGGCUCAACCUCGAACUUGCGGUGGGUACGGGCAGACUAGAGUGUGGUAGGGGAGACUGGAAUUCCUGGUGUAGCGGUGAAAUGCGCAGAUAUCAGGAGGAACACCGAUGGCGAAGGCAGGUCUCUGGGCCACUACUGACGCUGAGAAGCGAAAGCAUGGGGAGCAAACAGG